rnacentral:misc_RNA from 1 species
AACAACUCCCAAACCCAAUGUGAACGUUACCAAUCUGUUGCCUCGGCGGGAUUCUCUGCAAAGGGCGCGUCGCAGCCCCGGAUCCCAUGGCGCCCGCCGGAGGACCAAGUCAAACUCUUUUUUCUCUCCGUCGCGGCCUAUGUCGCGGCUCUGUUUUAUUUUUGCUCUGAGCCUUUCUCGGCGAUUUUAGCGGGCGUCUCGAAAUGAAUCAAAACUUUCUAACAACGGAUCUCUUGGUUCUGGCAUCGAUGAAGAACGCAGCGAAAUGCGAUAAGUAAUGUGAAUUGCAGAAUUCAGUGAAUCAUCGAAUCUUUGAACGCACAUUGCGCCCGCCAGUAUUCUCGACGUCAUGCCUGUCCGAGCGUCAUUUCAACCCUCGAACCCCUCCGGGGGGUCGGCGUUGGGGAUCGGCCCCUCACCGGGCGCCCCCGAAAUACAGUGCGGUCUCGCCGCAGCCUCUCCUGCGCAGUAGUUUGCACACUCGCACCGGGAGCGCGGCGCGCCACAGCCGUAAAACACCCCAAACUCUGAAAUGG